GACGAACGCUGGCGGCGUGCUUAACACAUGCAAGUCGAACGAAGUGGCGAACGGGUGAGUAACGCGUAAUCAACCUGCCCUUCAGAGGGGGAAAACAGUUGGACACGACUGCUAAUACCGCAUACUGAAGGAGGGGAUGGCGUCUGAUUAGCUAGUUGGGGGGGUAACGGCCCACCAAGGCGAGGAUCAGUAGGCGGUCUGGGAGGAUGGACGGCCACAUUGGGACUGGGACACGGCCCAGGCUCCUACGGGAGGCCGCAGUGAGGGAUCUUCCGACAUGGACGGAAGUCUGACUGAGCAACGCCGCGUGAGUGAUGACGGCCUUCGGGUUGUAAAGCUCUGUUAAUCGGGACGCGGUACCGGAAUAGAAAGCCACGGCUAACUACGUGCCAGCAGCCGCGGUAAUUC
rnacentral:rRNA from 1 species